UGCGUUUUGGGUGUGGGGGCGCACACAUCUGCGACAUUGAAAGACAAAACGUUCUCAACUGGGAAGAGAGGAAGAGGCGUAUUCUUUGGCUCUUAAAUCAUUUGGCCAAACACAUCGCAGUUCUGAAGGGGGUGGGGCCAUGGCAAGUCUAAAGUAUUGAUUCUUUGUCUAUUGUAUCAGCGAAUGACCCUCUCCAGAAGUGACCAGACGCUUCUUUGUGUUCUUCUUUAGGCGACCACCGAUGGUUUUUUUCCUCCAUUCCGUGUCCAUGAGAAAAUGAUUUGUAAUAUAGCCAAGACAAGCUGGGAUUUAGAAACUCGUUCCAACUUAAGGAGUGGGGCUAUUAUUAUUAAUGACUUUAUUUAUCAUGACCUUAUGGCUUUAUUAUCAGUGCAUUUGUUAGCGCUGGAUCACAAUCUGUUGUGUUAGGAAUUUUGUACUUAGUUUAAUUACAUACUCUGUAUAUUUAAUUAAUUAGUUAAUUAAUUAGUAGGACCCAGCAUUCAUUGUAGUAGUUUUGAAAAUCUGACAUAAUUUUAAAUGAAAAUAAGGAAAUUUGGCGACAUUAAAUCUUUGUUUAUGUAUACAGAAUGUACUUUUACUUUCAAAGGCACUAUAGUUUUAUUGUUUUAAUUAUUAGGUUUGUGGUUAAGUAGUGAAGGAUUUUUUUGGUUUGUGCUUUCUUGAAUGUUUUGUUUAAGCAAAAGGAAAUGAAUGAAUGUAAUUUAUUGCUCCGGUGUCCAUUUUGAAAAUCAAGAGGGGGGGGGCCUGAACAGUGCCGGCCAUUUCAAGAAAUGAGUUUCUGUGGAGUUGCUUGAGAAGGAGCCAUUUUAACAUCAAGUACUUAAAGUUGUUGAUUUGUGAUUUGAUAAGUGACAUUGAUAAAUGUCAAUUAUUUAUAAAGUAGUUUGAGUAACCAGCAAUGUAUGAAGACAUCUAGGGGUUUCAAUCUAGAACAUUCUCAUGCUUUGUCCUUAUAACUAAUGGCAGACAAGGUGUUUACUGUUAGAAUGGAGGAAACUACUAGCCAUAAGUUAAAAGCAACUGGUCACCCAGAGGGUUUUUUUAAAUCAAAAGUUCCUUACAUUGAUUCCAAUAAAUGACCCCAAACUGGGGACAAUAAAUGACACUUAUACAAUGCA